rnacentral:pre_miRNA from 1 species
CUACUACUCCCUCCGUACGAAAAUACUUGUCAUUGAAAUGGAUGUAUCUAGAUGUAUUUUAGUUCUAGACACAUCCAUUUUGACGACAAGUAAUUCCGGACGGAGGGAGUAUUAU